ACGCGGCGGUGCGCACCAGAAGCGAGGUCCAGAGUGGCAGCAACACGGCGGCCAGCAUCAGGUCGC
rnacentral:sRNA from 1 species